CCUACGGGGGGCAGCAGUGGGGAAUUUUGGACAAUGGGCGAAAGCCUGAUCCAGCAAUGCCGCGUGCAGGAAGAAGGCCUUCGGGUUGUAAACUGCUUUUGUACGGAACGAAACGGUCUGCUUUAAUACAGUGGGCUAAUGACGGUACCGUAAGAAUAAGCACCGGCUAACUACGUGCCAGCAGCCGCGGUAAUACGUAGGGUGCGAGCGUUAAUCGGAAUUACUGGGCGUAAAGCGUGCGCAGGCGGUUAUAUAAGACAGUUGUGAAAUCCCCGGGCUCAACCUGGGAAUUGCAUCUGUGACUGUAUAGCUAGAGUACGGUAGAGGGGGAUGGAAUUCCGCGUGUAGCAGUGAAAUGCGUAGAUAUGCGGAGGAACACCGAUGGCGAAGGCAAUCCCCUGGACCUGUACUGACGCUCAUGCACGAAAGCGUGGGGAGCAAACAGGAUUAGAUACCCCAGUAGUC
rnacentral:rRNA from 1 species